GAUGAACGCUGGCGGCGUGCCUAAUACAUGCAAGUCGAGCGAAUGGAUUAAGAGCUUGCUCUUAUGAAGUUAGCGGCGGACGGGUGAGUAACACGUGGGUAACCUGCCCAUAAGACUAGGAUAACUCCGGGAAACCGGGGCUAAUACCGGAUAACAUUUUGAACCGCAUGGUUCGAAAUUGAAAGGCGGCUUCGGCUGUCACUUAUGGAUGGACCCGCGUCGCAUUAGCUAGUGGGUGAGGUAACGGCUCACCAAGGCAACGAUGCGUAGUCGACCUGAGAGGGUGAUCGGCCACACUGGGACUGAGACACGGCCCAGACUCCUACGGGAGGCAGCAGUAGGGAAUCUUCCGCAAUGGACGAAAGUCUGACGGAGCAACGCCGCGUGAGUGAUGAAGGCUUUCGGGUCGUAAAACUCUGUUGUUAGGGAAGAACAAGUGCUAGUUGAAUAAGCUGGCACCUUGACGGUACCUAACCAGAAAGCCACGGCUAACUACGUGCCAGCCGCCGCCGUAA
rnacentral:rRNA from 1 species